AUGCCUGAACCCGCCAAAUCAGCUACAGCUCCGAAGAAGGGUUCCAAGAAGGCAGUUGCCAAGGUGCAGAAAAAAGAUGGCAAGAAGCGCAAGCGCAGCCGCAAGGAGAGUUACUCAGUUUACGUGUAUAAGGUGCUGAAGCAGGUCCACCCCGACACCGGCAUCUCGUCCAAGGCCAUGGGCAUUAUGAAUUCCUUCGUGAACGACAUCUUCGAACGCAUAGCGGGCGAGGCGUCUCGCCUGGCGCAUUACAACAAGCGCUCGACCAUCACGUCCCGGGAGAUCCAGACAGCCGUGCGCCUGCUUCUGCCGGGGGAGCUGGCCAAGCACGCCGUGUCCGAGGGUACCAAGGCCGUCACUAAGUACACCAGCUCUUAAAGGAGGAGAAAAAGAAGACUUUCAGAGGCCAUUAAAAGACCUUACAAUCAAAAGAUCAAGGUUUUGGCUAAAAUUAAGAGUCAGCGCCCAAUCUCCAAAAAUCCCUGCGCUUAUAUCAAUACACUAA